UACGUAGGGGGCUAGCGUUGUCCGGAAUCAUUGGGCGUAAAGGGCGCGCAGGUGGCGGUGUUGGCCCGGCGUGAAAGCCCCCGGCUCAACCGGGGGAGGGUCGUCGGGGACCGCACCGCUUGAGGGCGGUAGGGGCUGGUGGAAUGCCUGGUGUAGUGGUGAAAUGCGUAGAGAUCAGGCGGAACACCCGUAGCGAAGGCGGCCAGCUGGGCCGUCCCUGACACUGAGGCGCGAAGGCGUGGGGAGCGAACGGGG
rnacentral:rRNA from 1 species